GAUGAACGCUGGCGGCGUGCCUAAUACAUGCAAGUCGAGCGAACAGACGAGGAGCUUGCUCCUCUGACGUUAGCGGCGGACGGGUGAGUAACACGUGGAUAACCUACCUAUAAGACUGGGAUAACUUCGGGAAACCGGAGCUAAUACCGGAUAAUAUAUUGAACCGCAUGGUUCAAUAGUGAAAGACGGUUUUGCUGUCACUUAUAGAUGGAUCCGCGCCGCAUUAGCUAGUUGGUAAGGUAACGGCUUACCAAGGCGACGAUGCGUAGCCGACCUGAGAGGGUGAUCGGCCACACUGGAACUGAGCCACGGUCCAGACUCCUACGGGAGGCAGCAGUAGGGAAUCUUCCGCAAUGGGCGAAAGCUUGACGGAGCAACGCCGCGUGAGUGAUGAAGGUCUUCGGAUCGUAAAACUCUGUUAUUAGGGAAGAACAAAUGUGUAAGUAACUAUGCACGUCUUGACGGUACCUAAUCAGAAAGCCACGGCUAACUACGUG
rnacentral:rRNA from 1 species